GUCGGACGCCCUAGGGGGGCCGCCUUUAGAACGAUAGGACCGAGGCGGACCGGCCUCUGGCGUCCCUGUUGUCAUGACAAGGGCAAGUGCAGGGUAGCUAAGCCGGGAAGGGAUAACCGCUGAAAGCAUCUAAGCGGGAAGCCCGCCCCGGGGUGAGGCGUCCAUGGGGGUCAGGCCCCUGAAGCCCCCGGAGAAAACAUCCGGUUGAUAGGCCGCAGGUGCAGGCACGGCGACGUGUACAGCCGAGCGGUACUAAUAGGGCGAAAUGCUUGGCCAU
rnacentral:rRNA from 1 species